rnacentral:rRNA from 1 species
AUACCCUAUUAUUUUUAAUAUAAAUUUUAAAGCCAGAGUAUUUAUAGUUAUGAUCUUAAAACUUAAAGAAUUUGGCGGUAUUAUAGGUCUAUUUAGAGGAAUCUGUUAAGUAAUCGAUAACCCACGUUAAACCUUACUUAUAUUAAUUCUUGUAUACCACUGUUAAGAAUAUAUUGUAAAGUUAUGUUCAUGUAAAAUUAUUAUCUAAAAUUUCAAGUCAAGGUGCAGUAAUAUAUAAGGUAAUUAAUGGAUUACAAUAAAUUAUAUUUAUAACGGAUAAUAAAUAGAAUUAUAAAUUUGAAGGUGGAUUUAAUUGUAAAUUUUAGAAGAAUAUAAAAUUGAUUAGAGCUCUAUAAUAUGUACACAUCGC